rnacentral:rRNA from 1 species
AUGUACCAUGUGUUGCAGGGAGCCUCUGGACUGGAUGCUGAAAUUGAAAACAAGGACAUAUCGAAUCUGAUCAUCCCAUCCAUGAUCUCGUUUAAUUUGCCAGUCCCUAUCGUCAAGGCGCCACCGGAGGGAACGAUCCCGGCGGCCAAAACCAGAUGCUAUUGCCAAGUGCUUUCUCAACAGGAAAAGGAGGGAUGUUUAAAAGCCGGUAAAAUUCCGGAGCUCCAUCAAGAGCAGCCACUUCAGUCAAAUGCAAAUGAAGGUGCUACUGGUUCUCCACUUUUGCAGACUAUGUUUGAUACCGUGACAAAUCCUUCUAAAAACACUGGGAUCUCAUCAGUGACAAAUGCAGCGGAAACAAGUAACCUCAGCACCACAUCAUGUACUAAAUCAAGGAUCGUUGCUUAG